UGUUUCCCAAGAAGGCAGAGCUGGCCUUCGCAGUGUCUCCAGGCCCCCGGGGAGGCAACGGGGAGAGAGUCAAAGAGAAGUCAGGACGGUCAGGACGGCCACUGCCCUGGCCUGGGAGUGACAGCACCUUGGUUCCGUCCCAGCUGCCGUUCUUGCUGGCCGCCACCGAGCCUCCGGUUCCUCAGCGCCCCAUCUCUAAAACGGGACAAUGCCUGCCCUACCCACGUGCCAAGGACUCAAUGGGGGAACAUAAGUGGAGACAUCGUACAAUGUGAGAAACGCUGUGCGAUGUGUUUUCACUGUCAUUAUGGCUACGUUUUGCUACAGAGGCUAUAUCUCUCUCUAGAAGCUGCUGCCAGGGGUGAGCCAGCUCCUGCUUGUACCUCAGAAGGACCUACAUUAGCCCUGAGUGGGAACGCGUCACAUGGGCUGUUCAGACACUCUUCCAGAGCUACGCUGCGUGCAGAGCCACCUGGAAAGGUGAGGAGUGAGGAGGGGCACUCCAUUCCCCCCAGAGACUAGGCAGCUCCGCCUGGAGGCCUUUGCCUAGAGCAGUGAUGGCAAACCUAUGACAUGCGUGUCACAGGUGACAUGCAAACUCAUUUUUUUGGUUGAUUUUUCUUUGUUA